rnacentral:rRNA from 1 species
AGUGAACGCUGGCGGUAAGCCUAACACAUGCAAGUCGAACGGCAGCACAGUUAGCGCUUGCCCGUACGGGUGGUGACUGGCGGAAGGGUGCGGAAUACAUCGGAAUCUAAUUUUUAGUGGGGGACAACGUAGGGAAACUUACGCUAAUAACGCAUACGAUCUACGGGUGAAAGCAGGGGAUCUUCGUACGUUGCGCGAUUGAAUGAGCCGAUGUCGGAUUAGCUAGUCGGCGGGGGUAAGGCUCACUAAGGCGACGGUCCGUAGCUGGUCUAAGCGUUGGAUCAGCCACACUGGAACAGAAAGACGGGCCAGACUCCUACGGGAGGCCGCAGUGGGGAAUAUUGGGCGAUGGGCGCGAGCCUUAUCCAGCCAUGCCGGAUGGGUUAAGAAGGCCUUCGGGUGUGAAAGCCGUUGGGCUAGGAGAGAAAAACUGCAUGUUCAGGAGCCGCUGUUCUGACGGUACCCAAAGAAUAAGCACCGGCUAACUUCGUG